rnacentral:rRNA from 1 species
UACAGGGGGUGCAAGCGUUGCUCGGAAUUACUGGGCGUAAAGCGAGCGCAGGCGGCCGAUUAAGUCAGAGGUGAAAGCCCGGGGCUCAACCCCGGAAAUGCCUUUGAAACUGGUAGGCUUGAAUGCAGGAGAGGGUCGCGGAAUUCUUGGUGUAGAGGUGAAAUUCGUAGAUAUCAGGAAGAACACCGGUGGCGAAGGCGGCCAACUGGACUGGUAUUGACGCUGAGGCGCGAAAGCGUGGGGAGCAAACAGG